UGCGGGGUAGUGUACGGCUGCACGGAAGGCUCAUAAUCUUCCAGAUCAGGUUCAACUCCUGACCUCGCAA
rnacentral:tRNA from 1 species